AGUAUGUUGUUGUCGACCCGAAACCAAGUGACCUACCCAUGAGCAGGUUGAAGGUGUGGUAAGACACACUGGAGGACCGAACCAGGACACGUUGAAAAGUGUUUGGAUGACUUGUGGGUAGCGGAGAAAUUCCAAUCGAACUUGGAGAUAGCUGGUUCUCUCCGAAAUAUAUUUAGGUAUAGCCUCAGAGUAAGAGUGAUGGAGGUAGAGCACUGUUUGAACGAGGGGGACGCAAGUUUUACCGAAUUCAGAUAAACUCCGAAUGCCAAGUACUCAUCUCUGGGAGUCAGACUGCGAGUGAUAAGAUCCGUAGUCGAAAGGGAAACAGCCCAGCCCACCAGCUAAGGUCCCCAAGUAAUUGUUAAGUGGAAAAGGAUGUGGAGUUGCACAGACAGCUAGGAUGUUGGCUUAGAAGCAGCCAUCAUUUAAAGAGUGCGUAAUAGCUCACUAGUCGAGUGAUUCUGCGCCGAAAAUGUACCGGGGCUAAACAAUACACCGAAGCUGUGGAUUCUAGUUUAAGACUAGAGUGGUAGGAGAGCGUUCUAUAUGCGGGGAAGGCAUACCGUGAGGAGUGUUGGAGCGUAUAGAAGUGAGAAUGCCGGUAUGAGUAGCGCAAGACGGGUGAGAAUCCCGUCCACCGAUAGACUAAGGUUUCCAGGGGAAGGCUCGUCCGCCCUGGGUUAGUCGGGACCUAAGCCCAAGCCGAUAGGCGUAAGCGAUGGACAACAGGUAGAGAUUCCUGUACUUGAUGUUAUCGAUUGAGUGAAGGAGGGACACAGGAGGUGACUCCACGCAUCCGGAUGGAAGAGGAUGUGCAAGCAGUAAGUUUUAGUAAGAGU
rnacentral:rRNA from 1 species